rnacentral:rRNA from 1 species
CUACGGGCGGCUGCAGUGAGGAAUAUUGCACAAUGGGGGGAACCCUGAUGCAGCAACGCCGCGUGGAGGAUGACGCAUUUCGGUGUGUAAACUCCUAUUAUAUGUCAAGAAAAUGACGGUAGCAUAUGAAUAAGCACCGGCCAACUCCGUGCCAGCAGCCGCGGUAAUACGGAGGGUGCAAGCGUUACUCGGAAUCACUGGGCGUAAAGGACGCGUAGGCGGGCUUGUAAGUCAGGUGUGAAAUCCUACAGCUUAACUGUAGAACUGCACUUGAAACUACGAGCCUAGAGUAUGGGAGGGGGAGAUGGAAUUAGUGGUGUAGGGGUAAAAUCCGUAGAUAUCACUAGGAAUACCUAAAGCGAAGGCGAUCUCCUGGAACAUAACUGACGCUAAGGCGUGAAAGCGUGGGGAGCAAACAGGAUUAGAUACCCCCGUAGUC